rnacentral:lncRNA from 13 species
CACAAUUACUGUAAUGGACAGCGAGGCCGAAGAGAACAUACAAGAGGAGGCCCAUGUUGUUCUAGGAUUUGGAGGAUGAGUGAAAGAUCCAUGGGGUAAAUGCUGGCUGGGAAACUGGACGCAAAGGAAAUGUCAGGAGCUUGGUAAAUCUCAAAGUGGAGUGGAAGAUGAGGAGCCAGUGAGCAGGGGUGUGAGGUAAGACAGUCUAAGACUCUGAAGUAAGAACAGAGAGGCUGGAGGAGGGGGAAC